GACGAACGCUGGCGGCGUGCUUAACACAUGCAAGUCGAACGGAAAGGCCCUGCUUUUGUGGGGUGCUCGAGUGGCGAACGGGUGAGUAACACGUGAGUAACCUGCCCUUGACUUUGGGAUAACUUCAGGAAACUGGGGCUAAUACCGGAUAGGAGCUCCUGCUGCAUGGUGGGGGUUGGAAAGUUUCGGCGGUUGGGGAUGGACUCGCGGCUUAUCAGCUUGUUGGUGGGGUAGUGGCUUACCAAGGCUUUGACGGGUAGCCGGCCUGAGAGGGUGACCGGCCACAUGGGGAUUGGGAUCGGGCCCAGACCCCUCCGGGGGGCAGGAGUGGGGAAUAUUGCACAAUGGGCGGAAGCCGGAUGCAGCAACGCCGGGUGCGGGAUGACGGCCUUCGGGUGGUAAACCGCUUUCGCCUGUGACGAAGCGUGAGUGACGGGAAUGGGGAAAGAAGCACCGGCUAACUACGU
rnacentral:rRNA from 1 species